GGAUGAACGCUGGCGGCGUGCUUAACCCAUGCAAGUCGAACGAAGCACUUUAUUUGAUUUCCUUCGGGACUGAUUAUUUUGUGACUGAGUGGCGGACGGGUGAGUAACGCGUGGGUAACCUGCCUUGUACAGGGGGAUAACAGUUGGAAACGGCUGCUAAUACCGCAUAAGCGCACAGCAUCGCAUGAUGCAGUGUGAAAAACUCCGGUGGUAUAAGAUGGACCCGCGUUGGAUUAGCUAGUUGGUGAGGUAACGGCCCACCAAGGCGACGAUCCAUAGCCGACCUGAGAGGGUGACCGGCCACAUUGGGACUGAGACACGGCCCAAACUCCUACGGGAGGCAGCAGUGGGGAAUAUUGCACAAUGGGCGAAAGCCUGAUGCAGCGACGCCGCGUGAGCGAAGAAGUAUUUCGGUAUGUAAAGCUCUAUCAGCAGGGAAGAUAAUGACGGUACCUGACUAAGAAGCACCGGCUAAAUACGUG
rnacentral:rRNA from 1 species